AAUAUUUGACAAUGGGGGCAACCCUGAUCCAGCCAUGCCGCGUGUGUGAAGAAGGUCUUCGGAUUGUAAAGCACUUUACGUUGGGAGGGAGGGCUUUAGGUUAAUACCCUGAAGUUUUGACGUUACCAACAGAAUCAGCACAGGCUAACUCUGUGGCCGCAGACGCGGUAAUACCGUGGGUGCAAGCUUUAAUCGGAAUGACUGGGAGGAAAGCGCGCGUAGGUGGUUACGUAUGAUGGGUGUGAAAGCCCCGGGCUUAACCUGGGAACUGCUUUCAUAACUGCUGAGCUAGAGUACGGUAGAGGGUAGUGGAAUUUCCUGUGUAGCGGUGAAAUGCGUAGAUAUAGGAAGGAACACCAGUGGCGAAGGCGACUACCUGGACUGAUACUGACACUGAGGUGCGAAAGCGUGGGGAGCAAACA
rnacentral:rRNA from 1 species